rnacentral:tRNA from 1 species
GGAGGUGCCACCGGGGGCUGGCUAUCCGUCACCCCGGGGGUGACGGACGCCUGAUCACUGGAGUUCGGCGUUUCGAGUGCGCCGCUCUUCUUC